ensembl:lncRNA
CUCAGACAGACUAAGACAUCUUUGCUGUUUAGACUGAUGGUAAGAGCCCAAGGUUGAAGACAUACAAUAGCAAUUGACUUUUUUUUUUUCCACUGUGAAGAAAAUGAAAAAGUCCCGAACGCGUUGCUUGCAUGCAUGUUGGUGAACAGUGAGGUGAUUGCUUAAGUGUUCGUUGUUUGACCAGUUCUGACAGAGUACCUUAGAGACAACCGGAGAGGCACUGACGUUAUCAGCAAUGAAUCAUCUGUGGGAGAAGCGCUGCAGGAGGAGUUUAAAACAAAAGAACCUAAAACCCAAACCAAAUGCAGGCAAACAAUAGCAAAGCUGUGGAGGAGAGGAGUGUUGGAGAAAACAUGUGGUUUCACAGGACUCUGUCUAUUCUACUAAGAAAAUUCGGGAGAAGGAUUUGUGUGACUUCUCUCAUCUCGUCCUUGCCUGAACACCGGUGGAUUUUUUUCUCUGACCAGCCAAGCUUCAAGCUGUUUCAGCCUUAGAUAAGCUUCCUCCUGAACUCUGCAUAGCUUGCUUGCUACUCUAUAUUACUCAGACCUCUGCUCAAAAGCCAACCCCUCCGAGGACCUUCUGAUUGCCUGAUCUGAAAUCGCCUCCUUGCUCAGUUUCUGUAAUUCUCCACCUGCCACUUUUAUUUUCAUGGUAAACAUCAUCACCCUGUAAAAUUAUAUUAUUGACUUACUUAUAGGGGAAGGAACAUCGUCAACCAGUUCCAGGAAAAUGUACAAUCUUGGAUCACCAGGUACCAGAUGCAAAGGCACGGACUAAGUCAGUGGGUGAGGGCUAACAGAAAGACUAAGGGGAAAAUGACAGUGCUCCCAACACCAGCUCCUUUCAGUCUUCCAAAGUAAAAAACAACAAACAAAUAAAGGAAGAAACGUGGCUCAGCCUAGGAGUAAGAGCUCAGUGCACGCUCUCUCUCUCUGGAAAUGUCCUUUCUACCUCCCACUGAUAACUGUUGCUGGAAGGAAAUAUACACUCUCUGGAGACAUUGCGAGAAGGCACUAAAUCAAAGAAAAGGAUCCUGUGAACUCUGCUAGGGCCAAGCUUUAUCACACCUUUAACAACGAGGAUUCCUGCCUUGUUCUUGUGGUUGGCCAGCCAACAGAAAUGGAGGCUUUGCUGUUUAGAGAAUCCCACAGUCAAGCACCUUAUUAGUGGAAGGGAAAGGGGCCAGGACACCCAACAGUUGCUUGCUCUUGAUGGACACAUGUUCUGAAGGAAAAUCCAUCAGCAGUUCCAUCUCCAUCUACUCACAGGUCCUAAAUCUGGGCUCACUCCCAGGUUUCUGUAGCCCCCCUCCACACUAAAAAACAUAGGAGGGACAGUUUCCAUAGGAGAUAGCACAGGGCGCUCAGCACAAAUGCUCGCUAAGCACAAAUCUUCUGCAGAUCUAGAUCAGAGGUCCCAAACCCUAAGGCAGUGGUCCUCACAGGGGGACUGUUUUUGACCCCCUCCCCUCUCCUCUCCAGGGGAGGUUAGCCACAGCUAGAGGCUUCCUGAUUAUCACGGCUGGGUGGUAGAGGGUAGACCACUGGCGUCCAGUAUGUGAAAGUCAGAGCGGCAUCUAAC